rnacentral:rRNA from 1 species
UACAGAGGUCUCAAGCGUUGUUCGGAUUCAUUGGGCGUAAAGGGCGCGCAGGCGGCCACGCACGUCCGUUGUGAAAUCGCCCGGCUCAACUGGGCGGGGUCGGCGGAUACGGCGUGGCUGGAGCAAGCUAGGGGGUAGUGGAAUUCCCGGUGUAGUGGUGGAAUGCGUAGAUAUCGGGAGGAACACCAGUGGCGAAGGCGGCUACCUGGGGCUUUGCUGACGCUGAGGCGCGAAAGCGUGGGGAGCGAUCCGG